GACGAACGCUGGCGGCGUGCUUAACACAUGCAAGUCGAACGGGCUAUAGCAAUAUAGUUAGUGGCGAACGGGUGAGUAACGCGUGACCAAUCUGCCCCGGACUGCGGAAUAACGGUGGGAAACUACCGCUAAUACCGCAUGUUGAAAUUGAGUCGCAUGGCUUGAUUUUGAAAGCUUCGGCGGUCCGGGAUGAGGUCGCGACCUAUUAGCUUGUUGGUGAGGUAACGGCUCACCAAGGCAGCGAUGGGUAGCUGGUCUGAGAGGAUGAUCAGCCACACUGGGACUGAGAUACGGCCCAGACUCCUACGGGAGGCAG
rnacentral:rRNA from 1 species